GUGUGCCUUCUUGGGGAGGUGUCCAUGGAGCACCGCUCUCAAACAAGGGGAGAGUGGGGGAAGGGGCAGAGGUGUUCAUCUCCCACGCAAAGGAAGAAGCCACCACUUUAGCACCUUCAGGCUCGUAGGCAGCCCAGCAGAGGAGCAAGAAGGUUGAAGGAAAAUGAUUCUACAUGGAAGCACAAAUCUACAGAAAAGAAUGAAGAGUGUCAGAAAUGUCAAAGAUGCCUAGUUUGCAGUUUGCAGAGCUAUCUGCUGGGCUGGCGGGAGAGCUGGAGAGCCGUGAAAAGAAACCAGAGAAGCUUGCUCACAAAAGACUGAAAUCCUGAAGCUCCUUGGAGACAUGGCACCUUUCUGAUAUCAUCUUCGGAUCACAGAGAAGUCUUCUGAAAUGGGAGGAAACUUGGUUCUUUUCUAUUUCCCUUUGGCUAAAACGUGGCUCUCAUUCACGUGCCCGAUGCGCCAGGGCCCCAAGGAGACAGGCUCAUUUCCAGUAUUGACGUGCCUGCCGUCUGUCAAAGACCUGGUGGAUGCUUCCCGCCACCCGGAUUCAUCUGCCUCCAGGACAGAGGGGCCCGUUGGGCAAUCCAUCAUGGAGCACACCUGGUCUGCCCACAGGAGACAGC